rnacentral:rRNA from 1 species
AUUGAACGCUGGCGGCAGGCCUAACACAUGCAAGUCGAGCGGAUGAAGGGAGCUUGCUCCUGGAUUCAGCGGCGGACGGGUGAGUAAUGCCUAGGAAUCUGCCUGGUAGUGGGGGAUAACGUCCGGAAACGGGCGCUAAUACCGCAUACGUCCUGAGGGAGAAAGUGGGGGAUCUUCGGACCUCACGCUAUCAGAUGAGCCUAGGUCGGAUUAGCUAGUUGGUGGGGUAAAGGCCUACCAAGGCGACGAUCCGAAACUGGUCUGAGAGGAUGAUCAGCCACACUGGAACUGAGACACGGUCCAGACUCCUACGGGAGGCAGCAGUGGGGAAUAUUGCACAAUGGGCGAAAGCCUGACCCAGCCAUGCCGCGUGAGUGAAGAAGGUCUUCGGAUUGUAAAGCACUUUAAGUUGGGAGGAAGAGCAGUAAGUUAAUACCUUGCUGUUUUGACGUUACCAACAGAAUAAGCACCGGCUAACUUCGUG